rnacentral:tRNA from 1 species
GGGCCCUUAGCUCAACUGGAUAGAGUGUCUGACUACGGAUCAGAAGGUUAGGGGUUCGACUCCUCUAGGGCCCGCCA